GUCGGAGGGUGAGGGGAGAGGACGUGUGGUCGAGCCGCGCGCUGGGGAAGGUUCUUGUCGUCAUUUCAUUCUAAAAUAACGAACAAGAAAUACCAAACAUCACGAAAAAAGAGACAAAGAAACGAACGAAUGAAGGAGAGAAAGACCAGAAUGAAGGAAAAUGGAUGAAAUGCGAAGAACUGACGAAGAAAUUUAGUAAACGAAAGGAGAGACAAGGAAAAGAAUAAUAAAGGAAUAGAAAGAACAGAAAAUCUAUUAGAAACUCGAAAAGGUUGAUAAACUUCAAAUGCAAAAGAAGGAAAGAAAGAAAAAAGGAAAAAAUAGCCGACAAAACACUGAUUUUCGAAACCAUGUAGAUAAAGAAAACGGGAAACGACAGCGAUGGAAUAACAAAGGGGAGACUUAACCAUUUCUCGGCGAGGACAACACAGCUUCGGUUCUGUCUCAAGAUUUUCCCGCCAAAAUGGACGCAGCGUCGGUUGAUUCAUUCUGGUCAGAGGUACGUCUCGAAUUUCGG